rnacentral:rRNA from 1 species
UUAAGUGAAUAAGGGCGCACGGUGGAUGCCUUGGCACUAGGAGCCGAUGAAGGACGGGACUAACACCGAUAUGCUUUGGGGAGCUGUACGUAAGCUAUGAUCCAGAGAUUUCCGAAUGGGGGAACCCAACAUCUUUAAUAGGAUGUUACGAUUGUGUGAAUACAUAGCACAUUCGAGGUAGACGCAGAGAACUGAAACAUCUAAGUACCUGCAGGAAGAGAAAGAAAAUUCGAUUCCCUGAGUAGCGGCGAGCGAAACGGGAAAAGCCCAAACCAGCAAGCUUGCUUGUUGGGGUUGUAGGACUCCAAUAUGGUAGUUCUUUCAGAUAGUCGAAUGACUUGGAAAAGUCAGUCAAAGAGGGUAAAAACCCCGUAGACGAAAUGUGGAAGACACCUAGGAGGAUCCUGAGUACGGCGGAACACGAGAAAUUCCGUCGGAAUCCGGGAGGACCAUCUCCCAAGGCUAAAUACUCCCUAGUGACCGAUAGUGAACCAGUACCGUGAGGGAAAGGUGAAAAGCACCCCGGAAGGGGAGUGAAAUAGAACCUGAAACCGUGUGCCUACAACAAGUCAAAGCCCGUUAAUGGGUGAUGGCGUGCCUUUUGUAGAAUGAACCGGCGAGUUACGAUUGCAUGCGAGGUUAAGUUGAAGAGACGGAGCCGCAGCGAAAGCGAGUCUGAAUAGGGCGUUUGAGUAUGUAGUCGUAGACCCGAAACCAUGUGAUCUACCCAUGUCCAGGUUGAAGGUGCGGUAAAACGCACUGGAGGACCGAACCCACGUACGUUGAAAAGUGCGGGGAUGAGGUGUGGGUAGCGGAGAAAUUCCAAACGAACUUGGAGAUAGCUGGUUCUCUCCGAAAUAGCUUUAGGGCUAGCCUCGGAAUUGAGAAUGAUGGAGGUAGAGCACUGUUUGGACUAGGGGCCCAUCUCGGGUUACCGAAUUCAGAUAAACUCCGAAUGCCAUUCAUUCAUAUCCGGGAGUCAGACUGUGAGUGAUAAGAUCCAUAGUCGAAAGGGAAACAGCCCAGACCACCAGCUAAGGUCCCAAAAUAUAUGUUAAGUGGAAAAGGAUGUGGGGUUGCACAGACAACUAGGAUGUUGGCUUAGAAGCAGCCACCAUUUAAAGAGUGCGUAAUAGCUCACUAGUCGAGUGACCCUGCGCCGAAAAUGUACCGGGGCUAAACAUAUUACCGAAGCUGUGGAGUACACCUUUAGGUGUAUUGGUAGGAGAGCGUUCUAAGGGCGUUGAAGGCAGAUCGUGAGGACUGCUGGAGCGCUUAGAAGUGAGAAUGCCGGUAUGAGUAGCGAAAGACAGGUGAGAAUCCUGUCCACCGAAUGACUAAGGUUUCCUGGGGAAGGCUCGUCCGCCCAGGGUUAGUCGGGACCUAAGCCGAGGCCGACAGGCGUAGGCGAUGGAUAACAGGUUGAUAUUCCUGUACCCGUUGUUUUUGUUUGAGCAAUGGAGGGACGCAGGAGGCUAAGGAAUGCAGACGAUCGGAAAUGUCUGUCCAAGCAGUAAGUCUGAAGAGGAGUCAAAUGCUUCUUUUCUUAAGGACAAGCUGUGAUGGGGAGGGAAAUAAUAGUACCGAAGUUCCUGAUGUCACACUGCCGAGAAAAGCUUCUAGUGAGAAAACAGCGGCCCGUACCGCAAACCGACACAGGUAGUCGAGGAGAGAAUCCUAAGGUGAGCGAGAGAACUCUCGUUAAGGAACUCGGCAAAAUGACCCCGUAACUUCGGGAGAAGGGGUGCUGAUCAUACGAUCAGCCGCAGUGAAUAGGCCCAAGCGACUGUUUAUCAAAAACACAGGUCUCUGCAAAAUCGUAAGAUGAAGUAUAGGGGCUGACGCCUGCCCGGUGCUGGAAGGUUAAGAGGAGUGCUUAGCGCAAGCGAAGGUACGAAUUGAAGCCCCAGUAAACGGCGGCCGUAACUAUAACGGUCCUAAGGUAGCGAAAUUCCUUGUCGGGUAAGUUCCGACCCGCACGAAAGGCGUAACGAUUUGGGCACUGUCUCAACGAGAGACUCGGUGAAAUUUUAGUACCUGUGAAGAUGCAGGUUACCCGCGACAGGACGGAAAGACCCCAUGGAGCUUUACUG